AAUGGACGCAAGUCUGAACCAGCCAUGCCGCGUGAAGGAUGAAGGCCUUCUGGGUUGUAAACUUCUUUUACCUGGGAAGAAAACUACGAUUUCUAUCGUAGCCGACGGUACCAGAGGAAUAAGCACCGGCUAACUCCGUGCCAGCAGCCGCGGUAAUACGGAGGGUGCAAGCGUUAUCCGGAUUUACUGGGUUUAAAGGGUGUGUAGGCGGGCUUUUAAGUCAGUGGUGAAAUCUCCGGGCUCAACCUGGAAACUGCCAUUGAUACUAUUAGUCUUGAAUUUUGUUGAGGUAGGCGGAAUAAGUCAUGUAGCGGUGAAAUGCUUAGAUAUGACUUAGAACACCAAUUGCGAAGGCAGCUUGCUAAACAAAUAUUGACGCUGAGGCACGAAAGCGUGGGGAUCAAA
rnacentral:rRNA from 1 species